rnacentral:rRNA from 1 species
GAUGAACGCUGGCGGCACGCUUAACACAUGCAAGUCGAGCGGAGUUUAAGGCUUCGGUUUUAAACUUAGCGGCGGACGGGUGAGUAACACGUGGGUAACCUACCCUAUACAGGGGGAUAACGUAUAGAAAUGUACGCUAAUACCGCAUAAGCCAACAGGGAGGCAUCUUCCGGUUGGAAAAGCCGAGACGGUAUAGGAUGGGCCCGCGACUGAUUAGCCAGUUGGUGAGGUAAGGGCUCACCAAAGCAACGAUCAGUAGCCGGUCUGAGAGGAUGGACGGCCACAUUGGGACUGAGACACGGCCCAGACUCC